GUUUAAACAAUUGUGUCUUGUAAAAGGUUGUCUUCAUGCUGCAUUGUUGGAGAAGGUGGGCAGUAUGCAUCUUUGCACUCUUCAGACGGCUUGAGUAACAUGGCCAAUUUGACCAUAGCGACUGCUUCAAACAAUCAUCCUGUGUUAAAGGCCUAGCGUGUAGCGGCUGCUGCCACCAUGUCGUCUGUUCGUCAUCCAGCGGAAUAUGUUUUGUAGUCUGACCAACUGGAGUCGCCAUGUUGACCAGCGCUGAUCUAAGUGCCACAAAUUCGCACACAAAGUGCGCAGGAGCAGUUGUCGCCAGAUUGAUCGCCACUGUGUUGGAUAUUGCAGCCUGAGUUGCUGCAAACGUGCUAAGCGCUGUCGUCUAGUAGUAUGCAACAGAAAAUAGUUUCUUGUAGCAUGCCUUCUGUCUCUGAAUCUUUGUUGCAGUUGCCGUUCGACCAGACGCCAUUGAAGUGGGAGCUGUCCAGUUGACUGAUUUGUGCGCUGCAUGCGCCUAAACGGGACGCUGAUGACAAGUUCA